UGGUGGCUUCGCUCCAUUAAUCUCCUCUCAGCAGAUAUGGCAGCAGCUACAGAAGGUGGAAGAUGCAUUAAGCUGCCGGUUGGCUUUUCAACGGCUUCAGGUUCAGUGGAGGGACCAACUCUGAAUAGGGAUUCCAAAUCUUUAAGGGUCAGUACAGGCUGAUCUUGAUUCUUCUUGUUACCCCUAAUGUAUGAAUUAGUAGUAGUACUCCUGCUUUUAUUCAUUUUAUAUAUGCUUUCUUCAACAGUGUCUUUCACCUAUCAUCCAAGGGCAAAAAUAAAUAACUUAAUUUAUGUUUAUGCAUGGAUCUAUUAUCCAGUGAAAAUCAAGAUCUGGUAAGAGAACAGAAGACAUAAGAAAAAUAAGUCCACUGGCGAGAGAGUUUUAGAUAUUGAUUUGAAAUGACACAUGCGUAAAAAAGAAAAAAGAAAAAAGAAAAAAAGAGAGCAUACUACGAAACGAUGAACAAGCGUUUUAUUCUUCUGUCCUAUCCGAUGCACCCUGCUGAUUGCUUGUGAUUCUGCUGCAGGAUUUAGAAGUGGCUCUACAAGAAUAACAUGCUGUGCUUCCAAGAGAUUUAGGCCAUUGGCUCCAUGCUGAAUUAAUAUCAGUAGCACCUGAACAGAUUUGGUUUCUGGUUGACCAUCAUGCAUGCCACUUCCUUCCACACAGCUUUUCUCUCCUUUGAAGCUGCUGAUGGCAACAUGUGAUUUCCUGAAGAAUAACCAUUUGCUAUAUAACUUUCCAGAAGUUAAAGACGGUAAUCAUCUCAAUAAAUAUUUUCUAAAAUACAACAAUCUAAAAGGAUUUUAGACCUGUAAUAUCAAAUCUCUCCCAAUAAAGAUGAUUAAACUUAAUAACUCUUCUCAGUUUUUAUCAAGAGCUUUUGGGGAUAUCAAAUUGCUCGUGCUAAAAAUGAUUAUUAUACUGGUGUCAAGCAUUUAUUAACCUACCUUGAUGUGAUUGAGGUGCACAAUAUCAUCAUUGGUGCAUUAAAUAAUAUAUUUUGCAUGGACUAGUGAAUGAUCUUCUAAGGUUAGUUAUCUAGCCAAGGAUAUUCUACCCUUAGGUCUACCUUUUUAUGUCUUCUAUGUAACUUCUAAAAGACACUCUUCAGUCCUUAUAUUAUGAAUUUCUUUAGUUACUCUCACCUUUUGCAAAAAAUUUAAAAGGAAAAUAACUAAGCAGACACUUACCUGCCUCCUUUCAUCCUGAUAUAACUUAUAUUGUUGGCAGUGAAGGCAUGUUGCAAAACGUCUAGGACAUCAUUCCAACUAGAGAAAACAAGAACUUUGGCUUUUGGAUUUGUCGAAUUAAUCCACAAAAUUCUUUUUGUUACAGCUACAAUCUUCAAUAUACAUGCAAACAUAUGAAAAUUAAAAAGAAAAAUAAAUAACGAAGUUGUAAAUAUAGGAAUUCAUGCUAUAAAUAAAUUCUUAAGGGGCAAGGUUUUUGCCAAGCAAUACUUGUCUUUUUAAGAAAAAUUAAAAAUAGAAAACCGAUCAAUGCUUGUUAUUACCGAAGAAAGUGCUGAAUUAUGCUAUUGCACUAUUUCUUAAAAUAUUAUACUUAAACAUGGUAAUUAGAGAAAAGAAAAAAAAAAGAAUAAUUUUGGCGGUAUUAUUCCCUAACUGAAAUUAAAGUGAGCUCAACUAGAAGAGAGCCUAGUGGUUUAAUCAAAACUGUCAUGUGGGAAAAAAUGUCAACUGUAGGGAGAGAUUGUCACAGAUAAUAUACAAGAAAACUGGAAUGAAAAAGGCUACAAGGCCAAACUCUAUGAUGUGAGUUUGAAUGUGUAUUAUUUGUCUAUGAAAAGGUGUCUGUCUAUGUAAACAAUGAAGAAUCAAGUUUAUCCACUAGGAAUGCACACCAUAAAGCAUGAAAACCAGCAACAUGAAGUCAAGGGAAAUAGAGCCUUAGAGGAUCCAAAGAAACAAGACAACUGACAUGAAGAGAAAUGAGAAUUCUGCACAUUUAGAGCUCCUGUGCGCUCCAACAGAGACCCAUGCAUGUGUGUGAACCUACAUCUUCAUGGCAGCCAGUGACAGAACUAAAACAUUUUUAGAGGGUGGUCAAAAUACAUCAGUAAAAAAAAUUAUUUAUUGAUGCUUGGAGUGCUUCUUUUAAAUUCAUUUUGUCCAAUUAUAGUAUUUCACAACAUCCUAUUCCAACUCUUGUCAAUAGACCUGGCAAAAUCGGCCUGCGGGCCAGGCCAGCCCGCCCGUUAAAAACUGGGCUAUGGGCUUCAUUUUUUCGACCCACUAAAAUCUGGGCCUUUUUAGCCCGGCCCAAUGACAACCCGCCCGUGGGCGUCCGUCCCGCCCAGUCAUUUUUAAAAAACCCUUAUUCUGGCUAAGUGGCUACUGGCUAACUAGCUAAUAUGAUAGAUGUUCAAGAAUCGAGACUAGUAAAAGGGAGUAAGGGACAUUUUUCAGAUCUAGUUCUAGAUCUAAAACUGAGAAGUGAGAGAGAGAGACCGAGAGGCCGGAGGCAGAGGCGAGAUCGGAGAGUCCUCAACAGAGAGAGUGAGAGACAACGAUCCACACUUCGAUCGAUCGACCACGGCGAGUCGUCGACUGACGAGUGACGUCUGUGUAGCUUCUUCUUCUCUACAGGUAGUUUGUUUGAGUUAGAGUAUUGACAGAUUAAAUGGCUUAACUUUUUCAUUUUUGUUUGAAGGAUCUACCUUUUUUCCUUCGUUUUCUCUUCAUUUUUCAGUCUUAACUAUAUUCUGUUUUUUUUCCAGUUUGUUUGAUUGUUUCUGGUAUGUUUUUUUUUUUUUUUUAAUUUAUGUUCUUAAUUUAUUGGAUGAAAUCUUUAGUUGGGGUUACUAAAUUUCUUCAAUUUUGGUAAAACCCUGCAAUUUCGGCAAAGAAGAGAAGAUGUGGACUAAAUUGGGAGUAUAAUUGGAUUAGUGGUUGUUGUCAUGUUGUGUAGAGUAAUAAGGAAGAAGAAUUAUAAAAAAAAAUCUUGGCUUAAUUAUCUUUAAAUGAUUAUGAGUUCUGUUUUUUGAAAUUAUACACUUCAUAUGUUUGAUAUAAUGCCUUUAGGAGGCUGUUAAUAACAGAAGAUUCCAAUACCUAUCCUACCAAUGAGUUCCAUAAAUUUCAGGUUAUGAUGCUAAUUUGCAUUUUCUGUAGUUUGUUUAUCUAGCACUUAAUUGCCAGUCAAGUUGUCAAAUUUUCCUGUCAACUACAAAUUUCCUCAUAUAUAUUUCAAUCCUAUUAUAACUGUCAUCAUUAUGACAGUCUCAGCUUAGCAUUAAGAAUUAGUAGGUUCAAAUUGUUUAGAAGUUCAUUGUUGUUAGUCCCUCAGGGAAAAUGAGUCCUAACAUUGUUGGUUUAUGUAUAGAACAAAAUCUAAACAGAAAAUAUUCUUAGCAAGCUACAUGGUGGUUAUAAACACAAAAGGACUACAUGUUUUUAUGUUUUCAACAAUCUAAAUAUUUUGUCAAUGGCAAAAGAAGAAACUUAACAUGUUUUGGUAUUUUAUUUUCAUAAAUUCUGGAGAAGAGAACAAUUCAACUAAAUUGGCCUGAUCUAGCAUGUUAAGAUUGAAGAUCUAGCAUGUUAAGGGAGUAUUAUAACAGUUUAUUCACUUCUUUAAUAUUACUUAUUAUCUCUCUAUGACUACAAGCUCUUUUUAGUUCAAUUUUUUUUUCUUUUUUCUUUUAUUAGGUGGGAGGAGGGCAGAAGGGGUGUUCAGGUUUUGCAUUAUCCUUUAUUAAUAGACUGGUUAAUGGUUAUGUAUACAGUGCAAGACAAGUUGACCCAUAUUUUAUCACACAAUUCGGAAUAUCAUACAAGACUUACCAUACUAUAAUUUACUAAAUAAACUGUUACAGGUGGAAGCACUUUUGGUUCAGGCAUUCUAAUAGGUUUUAUCUGCAGCCUGCAGGUUGUAGAAAUUGAAGCCCAUGAAAAUUCAAGCACUUUUGGUUUAGGCAUUCUAAUAGUAAUAGGAUUGCAAUUAUGCAUUAUGCAAAGAUGAUACUUGUUGAGUUGUUGAUGGGAUUCUGUUGCUGCAGAUGGUAAUUCUGUUGCUGUAGAUGGG
rnacentral:lncRNA from 1 species